GUUCUGUCUCACUUUGGCAACACACAACCUAAAAAGAAAUGGGAAUGAGACAGAGACGGUUAGCAUGGUCCCUGCCCAAGGAUCACAUGCAAAUUGGUGAAGCGUUCACUAAAAAA
rnacentral:snRNA from 1 species